rnacentral:misc_RNA from 1 species
UCUCUUUUUUUGAGUAUUGUUUGUAUUAAUUCUAUCUUCUUUUUUUCCCUUUCUCAGUCUCGUAGCUCAGCUGGUUAGAGUGCUACACUGAUAAUGUAGAGGUCGGCAGUUCGAGUCUGCCCGGGACUACUUUUAUAAGGGGGAUUAGCUCAGCUGGCUAGAGCGCCUGCCUUGCACGCAGGAGGUCAUCGGUUCGAUUCCGAUAUUCUCCACAUUAAAGUUCUUUGACAUAUUGUAAUGAAUAUAUAUACUUAAUUUUUAAAAGUUAUUAAGGGCGUAUGGCGGAUGCCUAGGCUCUCAAAGGCGAUGAAGGACGUGACAAGCUGCGAUAAGUUUCGAUAAGGUGCAAAUAACCGUUUAAUCGAAGAUUUCCGAAUGG